AGAGUUUGAUCCUGGCUCAGGACGAACGCUGGCGGCGUGCUUAACACAUGCAAGUCGAACGAGAUCCUUCGGGGUCUAGUGGCGAACGGGUGAGUAACACGUGAGCAACCUGCCCCUGGCUCUGGGAUAGCCUCCGGAAACGGGGAUUAAUACCGGACAUGACCUGGGUCUGCAUGGACCCGGGUGGAAAGUUUUUCGGCCAGGGAGGGGCUCGCGGCCUAUCAGCUUGUUGGGGGGGUAACGGCCCACCAAGGCGACGACGGGUAGCCGGCCUGAGAGGGCGACCGGCCACACUGGGACUGAGACACGGCCCAGACUCCUACGGGAGGCAGCAGUGGGGAAUAUUGCACAAUGGGGGGAACCCUGAUGCAGCGACGCCGCGUGCGGGAUGAAGGCCUUCGGGUUGUAAACCGCUUUCAGCAGGGACGAAGCGCAAGUGACGGUACCUGCAGAAGAAGCGCCGGCUAACUACGUGCCAGCAGCCGCGGUAAUACGUAGGGCGCGAGCGUUGUCCGGAAUUAUUGGGCGUAAAGAGCUCGUAGGCGGCCUGUUACGUCUGCUGUGAAAUCCCGGGGCUUAACCCCGGGCGUGCAGUGGAUACGGGCAGGCUGGAGGCAGGCAGGGGAGAACGGAAUUCCCGGUGUAGCGGUGAAAUGCGCAGAUAUCGGGAGGAACACCGGUGGCGAAGGCGGUUCUCUGGGCCUGUACUGACGCUGAGGAGCGAAAGCGUGGGGAGCGAACAGGAUUAGAUACCCUGGUAGUCCACGCCGUAAACGUUGGGCGCUAGGUGUGGGUCCCUUCCACGGGGUCUGUGCCGCAGCUAACGCAUUAAGCGCCCCGCCUGGGGAGUGCGGCCGCAAGGCUAAAACUCAAAGGAAUUGACGG
rnacentral:rRNA from 1 species